CCCUUAGAUGUUCUGGGCCGCACGCGUGCUACACUGAACGGUUCAAUGGGUGAGGUAGUGCGAAAGCAUAACCUAAUCUCGAAAUCCGUUCGUGCUGGGGAUAGAAGCUUGCAAUUAUCCUUCUUGAACGAGGAAUACCUUGUAGGCGUGAGUCAUCAUCUCGCGCCGAAUACGUCCCUGCCCUUUGUACACACCGCCCGUCGCUCCUACCGAUUGAGUGUUCCGGUGAGGCUUUGGGAGAGCUGGGUGGAUUGUGUUUCACGAACUGCUCGGUUUGAACUUAGUCAAACCUUAUCACUUAGAGGAAGGAGAAGUCGUANCA
rnacentral:rRNA from 1 species